AUUCCCCUAGUAGCGGCGAGCGAAGCGGGAAAAGCUCAAAUUUGUAAUCUGGCGUCUUCGACGUCCGAGUUGUAAUCUCGAGAAGUGUUUUCCGUGAUAGACCGCAUACAAGUCUCUUGGAACAGAGCGUCAUAGUGGUGAGAACCCAGUACACGAUGCGGAUGCCUAUUACUUUGUGAUACACUUUCGAAGAGUCGAGUUGUUUGGGAAUGCAGCUCAAAUUGGGUGGUAAAUUCCAUCUAAAGCUAAAUAUUGGCGAGAGACCGAUAGCGAACAAGUACCGUGAGGGAAAGAUGAAAAGCACUUUGGAAAGAGAGUUAACAGUACGUGAAAUUGUUGGAAGGGAAACACAUGCAGUGAUACUUGCUAUUCGGGGCAACUCGAUUGGCAGGCCCGCAUCAGUUUUUCGGGGCGGAAAAGCAUAGAGAGAAGGUAGCAGUUUCGGCUGUGUUAUAGCUCUUUAUUGGAUUCGCCCUGGGGGACUGAGGAACGCAGCGUGCUUUUUGCAUGAGCUUCGGCUUAUCCACGCUUAGGAUGCGGGUUUAUGGCUGUAUAUGACCCGUCUUGAAACACGGACCAAGGAGUCUAACAUGCUUGCGAGUAUUUGGGUGUCAAACCCGGAUGCGCAAUGAAAGUGAAUGGAGGUGGGAAGCGCAAGCUGCACCAUCGACCGAUCUGGAUUUUUUAAGAUGGAUUUGAGUAAGAGCAAGUAUGUUGGGACCCGAAAGAUGGUGAACUAUGCCUGAAUAGGGCGAAGCCAGAGGAAACUCUGGUGGAGGCUCGUAGCGGUUCUGACGUGCAAAUCGAUCGUCAAAUUUGGGUAUAGGGGCGAAAGACUAAUCGAACCAUCUAGUAGCUGGUUCCUGCCGAAGUUUCCCUCAGGAUAGCAGAAACUCACAUCAGUUCUAUGAGGUAAAGCGAAUGAUUAGAGGCCUUGGGGUUGAAACAACCUUAACCUAUUCUCAAACUUUAAAUAUGUAGGAAGCCCUUGCUACUUA
rnacentral:rRNA from 1 species